GCCUAAAGCGUCCGUAGCCGGCUUUGUAAGUUUUCGGUUAAAUCUAUAUGCUCAACAUAUAGGCUGCCGGGAAUACUGCAAAGCUAGGGAGUGGGAGAGGUAGACGGUACUCCGUAGGAAGGGGUAAAAUCCUUUGAUCUAUGGAUGACCACCUGUGGCGAAGGCGGUCUACCAGAACACGUUCGACGGUGAGGGAUGAAAGCUGGGGGAGCAAACCGGAUUAGAUACCCGGGUAGUCCCAGCUGUAAACUAUGCAAACUCAGUGAUGCAUUGGCUUGUGGCCAGUGCAGUGCCGCAGAGAAGUCGUUAAGUUUGCCGCCUGGGAAGUACGUACGCAAGUAUGAAACUUAAAGGAAUUGGCGGGGGAGCACCACAAGGGGUGAAGCCUGCGGUUUAAUUGGAGUCAACGCCAGAAAUCUUACCCGGAGAGACAGCAGGAUGAAGGUCAAGCUGAAGACUUUACCAGACAAGCUGAGAAGUGGUGCAUGGCCGUCGCCAGCUCGUGCCGUGAGGUGUCCUGUUAAGUCAGGUAACGAGCGAGAUCCUUGCCUCUAGUUGCCACCAUUACUCUCAGGAGUAGUGGGGCGAAUUAGCGGGACUGCCGUAGUUAAUACGGAGGAAGGAGAGGGCCACGGCAGGUCAGUAUGCCCCGAA
rnacentral:rRNA from 1 species